UUCCUCCUCCAGGGGAUCUUCCCAACCCAGAGAUCGAACCCACAUCUCCCGCACUGGCAGGCAGAUUGUUUACCACUGAGCCACCAGGGAAAUCCCCUAAGGAGAGGUAGGUAGCUGCUCCCUACAACAUCUUUCUCUGUGUUGCCUUUUGGCUUUUUUGAAUCCUCCAACUCCUGUUUAGAGAAUUCUCUAUGUUAAAUUUUCUCUGUUAAAACAAUUGGAUUUAGUUCCUGCUUUCCUGCCUGGAUCCUCACAGAUACAAAAUACAUAAGCAUGUGGCUACGAAAGCACAAGGCAAGGUGAAGAGAGUUGUGUCGAUGUGCCAGGCUCAUGGGUGCUUCUGUAUCUUUCUCCAAAUAUUUCUAAAGUCCUGGUAUGAUUUGGUUUCGUAACUGUGCCCUUCCCGGAGGACAGCAUGUACCCUACGUACGAGGGCCAGCCACUCCUAUGCUGUAAUGAUAGGUAAGGAAACCAAUUUAUGUAACUCACUAGUAUUUGCCAGAUGGGAGGGGACAGAAGACAAGGGCUGGGAGAAAAAGCAAACAGAACACUGAAAGAGAUGCUAUCUAACAGAGAGGAGAAAAAUGUUUUCUGAUUACAGGAAAACAUGCUUACACAGCCUGCAGAAAUCUUCAGGUUUUAAGUUGUCUCAAGGAAACAAUCGAAAGAACCAAGAAGAGAAGAGAGCUGCAAGUGUUUCUUAGAAUUGAAACAAAAAUCUUUCUUUUUUUUUUUCCUGACUGGUUCAAUUUCCCUCGCAGUGCAGGUGAGAAAAAAAUAAAAAAGCAAAUAUAUUAAGUUAACCAAUGAUUCUUUAAAAGUGCAAUUUCCUUUUAAAAUAACAAAUAAACAACAACACCAACAAAAAGAAAUAAACCCCAACCAUAACCCCAAAGGCAAAACGUGUGUGGAGAGACAAGUGUCGUGAUGGGAUUAGCUAUUUUUUGAUGUUACGCUUUAUGAAAGCAGAUUUGGUUUUAUAAAAGCCUGCAAACGUAACAUGGCUUAGGAGGACCUGUAAACACGUUUGGAAGAAGAUGCAACACAGCUCAACAAAGACAGG
rnacentral:lncRNA from 1 species